GACGAACGCUGGCGGCGUGCCUAAUACAUGCAAGUAGAACGCUCAAGCGAGGAGCUUGCUCUUCUUGGAUGAGUUGCGAACGGGUGAGUAACGCGUAGGUAACCUGCCUUGUAGCGGGGGAUAACUAUUGGAAACGAUAGCUAAUACCGCAUAACAUUGUAUGACACAUGUCUUUUAUUUGAAAGGGGCAAUUGCUCCACUACAAGAUGGACCUCCGUUGUAUUAGCUAGUAGGUGAGGUAAUGGCUUACCUAGGCGACGAUACCUAGCCGACCUGAGAGGGGGGUCCGCCACACUGGGACUGGGAACACGGCCAGGACCCCUCGGGGGGGAGCAAGAAGGGAAUUUUGGCCAAGGGGGCAAAGCUUAACGGGGAACGGCGGGGGGGGGAAGGAGGUUUUCGGGUCCUUAAGAUCCGUUGAUUGUGGAGGACGGGUGGUGGAGUGAAAAGUGCACGUCGUGACGGUAGCUUACCAGAAAGAGACGGCUAACUACGUG
rnacentral:rRNA from 1 species